AUUGAACGCUGGCGGCAGGCCUAACACAUGCAAGUCGAGCGGAUGAAGGGAGCUUGCUCCUGGAUUCAGCGGCGGACGGGUGAGUAAUGCCUAGGAAUCUGCCUGGUAGUGGGGGAUAACGUCCGGAAACGGGCGCUAAUACCGCAUACGUCCUGAGGGGGAAAGUGGGGGUUCUUCGGACCUCACGCUAUCAGAUGAGCCUAGGUCGGAUUAGCUAGUUGGUGGGGUAAAGGCCUACCAAGGCGACGAUCCGUAACUGGUCUGAGAGGAUGAUCAGUCACACUGGAACUGAGACACGGUCCAGACUCCUACGGGAGGCAGAAGUGGGGAAUAUUGGACAAUGGGCGAAAGCCUGAUCCAGCCAUGCCGCGUGUGUGAAGAAGGUCUUCGGAUUGUAAAGCACUUUAAGUUGGGAGGAAGGGCAGUAAGUUAAUACCUUGCUGUUGUGACGUUACCAACAGAAUAAGCACCGGCUAACUUCGUG
rnacentral:rRNA from 1 species